rnacentral:rRNA from 1 species
UAGAGAUUUGCGUGUAGCAGUGAAAUGGGUAGAGAUGUGGAGGAAUACCGAUGGCGAAGGCAGCCCCCUGGGAUAACACUGACGCUCAUGCACGAAAGCGUGGGGAGCAAACAGGAUUAGAUACCCUGGUAGUUCACGCCCUAAACGAUGUCAACUAGUUGUUGGGGAUUCAUUUCCUUAGUAACGUAGCUAACGCGUGAAGUUGACCGCCUGGGGAGUACGGUCGCAAGAUUAAAACUCAAAGGAAUUGACGGGGACCCGCACAAGCGGUGGAUGAUGUGGAUUAAUUUGAUGCAACGCGAAAAACCUUACCUACCCUUGACAUGCCACUAAAGAAGCAGAGAUGCAUUAGGUGCUCGAAAGAGAAAGUGGACACAGGUGCUGCAUGGCUGUCGUCAGCU